rnacentral:rRNA from 1 species
GUGGAUUAGAUACCCGGGUAGUCCACGCCGUAAACUAUGGGUGCUAGCCGUCGGGGAGCUUGCUCUUCGGUGGCGCAGCAAACGCAUUAAGCACCCCGCCUGGGGAGUACGGUCGCAAGAUUAAAACUCAAAGGAAUUGACGGGGGCCCGCACAAGCGGUGGAGCAUGUGGUUUAAUUCGAGGCAACGCGAAGAACCUUACCAGCCCUUGACUUCCCGAUCGGGGCUCCGGAGACGGAGCUCUUCAAUUGGUCGGUGACAGGUGCUGCACGGCCGUCGACAACU